rnacentral:lncRNA from 1 species
ACCAGGUGGUAAACACAUGCCACUUCCUUGGACAGGUAUCCAGUGAAAUGUCAGCUAAAAAUGUCCAUAUAAAACCACGCUCCUUUCUGCUUCUAGUCGCCAAGAUACACGUUUGGUAUUAGCCAAAAGGCCAAUAAGUGAUGGGAAAAAACAGAUAACUCAAAUCAUAUUCCAUUGUCCAUCGUCUACAGACAGAUAUCCUAACAGAAACACCACGGAAAAAUUUGGCUGAUUCAUGGAGUCCUAAAUAAAGCUGUUUUGUUACUGGAAUACUGAAACAGACCCAAAGACAACCAAAUCCCUUGUUAUUAAGCAAAGGAACAGACAACUCACCCUUGUCAUCUGAGUUCAUGAGCCUGGGCCACAGACACACUUAUCCAGGUGAUUGUGUCUUCCUGGCACGAGAGUCUCUGCCUGAAUGUACCCUGGGCUUGAAGCAUCAUCUUAAUACUCUACCACGGACCACUCGAAGGCCUUACGGCAUCAGCCCAGGGCUCUGAGAACCCCAAGGAUGGGAUGUCUGGGGUCCUGUUGCCUGCACACCCACUCUGUCCUUGCAUGCUGCUGCCUCUCCUGUACUCACUCCUGGCUCUGAGGCGUGCCCCUCACUGCAGUACAACCAAGUCACCACAGCUUUCCAGCCUCCUCUGUGACUCCCACUCAAACCCCAAGUCCCCAUGAGUUACGUUCCAGUAACCAGAGCACCUGCUGGCCUGAAAAGUACAUCUGGCCCCAGCCCUGCUGCUUGAGCAGAAGUCCUUCUCUCAGGACUGCUGUGUAAAUUCUAUGCGCCUGGCCUCCUUGCUGGGCAGUGCCUGCCUUGUAAUAGGCCACGAGACGCCAUGACAAAACAACUGACAGUCCCAUCACAGGCACAAAAUCCUGAUUUGACUCUCACAGCCACAUCUUCUUCUACUACCCCUGACCAAAUCACACACUGCCCUCCCUCCAUGAGUUACCCCAAGGACUGAUACUCAAGUUCACCC